rnacentral:lncRNA from 1 species
UUUGCGGUCGCGGCGGCUGCUGCUCCUGCUGCCUCACGUUGGAAUUGGAGAUGCCUUGUCCUGCUCUCAGGACAGAACCAUGAAACCAGCAGCAGCGGCGGUGCACGAUGCUCCCAAUCCGUCGCCAGGCGCCGCCUCAGAGCCUGUGGCUGUUCGCCAUCCCCGGAGCCGAUGGGCCGCGUAGCACGGAGUUGCUCCUGCUGGCGGCGACCAAGGCGGGACUGGAGCGGCGGGACAUCUCCGGGGAGUGGGUGAAGGAAGAGCCGCAGCCGCCACGUCCUCUCUUUCUCCGGGAAUGUGCAGGAUUACCGUGAAAUUAUGACUCGUCAUCCUGCAAAUUACCAAUGGGAAAAUUGGAGUCUAGAAAAUGUUGCCACUAUUUUAGCCCACCGGUUCCCCAAUAGCUAUAUUUGGGUGAUAAAAGUGCUCCUGAAUGCAUUUGCACAAAUUCAGCUGCCAUAAUAGUUUUGUGAAAAGUAACGUGUUUGGUUCCCCAGAACACAAUACUGACUCUGGAGCUUUUAAGCAGUUUUAUAUGUUAUUAGUUAAGGCUUUUAAGUCAUAAUAGUUUAAUCAAAGAAAAAUUUGAAUGAUUGGAAAAAGGACUCCACAGCAUCUAAUUGUAGUGCGGUUCUUUUCAUACUACAAAUCGUUUCCAGGGAGAAAAAGAGAGGACCUGUAAAAAAUCUGAUGAGUCAGCCAUGAGUUUUUAUCCACCAUCACUAAAUGAUGCAUCUUUUACUUUACGGGAUUCAGUAAAGGUUGUGUCGUUUUGAAUCAAUUUCUUUUUUAAUUGAAAGAAGCCAAGAAAGACAAGAACAUGGAUGCUUUCAUUAAAAGCGUAAGAACAAUGUAUUGGCUAAAUGGUGGUCAUUCCGGAGGAAGCAAUACUUGGGUUACUUCACCAUAAGUCUUGAAAGAAUUUGCACAAACGGGGAUUAUUGUUCAAACCCAUGUAACACUGUACUAAGUACAUGAUCCAAUGGGAUCUUGAUUUGGAAAAGAGCAAAAUAAAUUUGUUUCGAUACUUAGGGAUAUUGUUUUGCAGGUGACUAGCUGAGUUCAUUUCACAAAGGAAGCUCCCUCCAUAGAGAAUCACUUCAGAGAUCAUGAAGUAUUU